rnacentral:lncRNA from 1 species
UGAUUAGAGGUGUGCUCUGAACAAGCCGAGACGGGGCCGUGCCGAGCAAUGAUCUCCCGCUGGUACUUUGAUGUGACUGAAGGGAAGUGUGCCCCAUUCUUUUACGGCGGAUGUGGCGGCAACCGGAACAACUUUGACACAGAAGAGUACUGCAUGGCCGUGUGUGGCAGCGCCUGUCCCAAAGUUUACUCAAGACUACCCAGGAACCUCUUGCCCGAGAUCCUGUUAAACGUACGUUGUC